ACCACGAGGAAGAGGUGGUGCAGCGCUCUCUCCAGAGCGUGAAGCUGGCUCUUGGUGUUGUUUUAUUGCACCUGCCAUUUGCCAUUGAUGAUUGUUCUUACUCUUUCUAGCGAGUAAGAGAGAGAGAGAACACAGUCUGAGUCGU
rnacentral:snoRNA from 1 species